CACGCCGUAAACGAUGGGUACUAGGCGUCGGGGGGAGCGACCCUCCCGGUGCCGUCGCUAACGCAGUAAGUACCCCGCCUGGGGAGUACGGUCGCAAGACUGAAACUCAAAGGAAUUGACGGGGGCCCGCACAAGCGGUGGAGCAUGUGGUUUAAUUCGAAGCAACGCGAAGAACCUUACCUGGGCUUGACAUGCACGGGAAAUCCGGUGGAAACAUCGGCCCCUCUUCGGAGUCCGUGCACAGGUGC
rnacentral:rRNA from 1 species